UUGGCGCCCUGGCCGGGCUUCGCGAGCCCCAUCGCUUCGUACUCGAUCAGUUCGGCAAUGGUGAAACAGUCGUGCGUCUCGACCAGCGACAAG
rnacentral:tRNA from 1 species